rnacentral:rRNA from 1 species
CUGUUUUUUUUUUUUUUUUUUUGAAAUUGAUCUCCCCGUGCAGAAGCGNNNAUAAUACCAUAAGACGAGAAGACCCUAUGGAGCUUUAGACGUCAGAGCAGCCCAUGUAAAGCACCCCUUAACAAAGGAAAAAACCAAAUGAAGCCUGCCCUAAUGUCUUUGGUUGGGGCGACCGCGGGGAAAUACAAAACCCCCAUGUGGAGUAGGAAUACACAUUCCUAAACCCAAGAGCUCCCGCUCUAAUGAACAGAAAUUCUGACCAAUAAGAUCCGGCACACGCCGAUCAACGGACCGAGUUACCCUAGGGAUAACAGCGCAAUCCCCUUAAAGAGCCCUUAUCGACAAGGGGGUUUACGACCUCGAUGUUGGAUCAGGACAUCCUAAUGGUGCAGCCGCUAUUAAGGGUUCGUUUGUUCAACGA